GACGAACGCUGGCGGCAUGCUUAACACAUGCAAGUCGAACGGAACGGCCCUGUUUUUGUGGGGUCCUCGACUGGCGACCGGGUGAGUAACACGUGGGUACCCUACCAUUGCCUUUGGGAUAACUUAAUGCAACUGAGUCUCAUCCCGGAUAGGAGCUACUGCUUCAGGGUGGGGGUGGGUAAGUUUCGGUGGUUGGGAGUGGACUGGCGGCGUAUGGGGUUGUUGGGUGGGUAGUGGAAGAGCAAGACUAUGACGGGUGGCCGGCCUGAGCGGCUGACCGGCCACAUUAGGACUGAGAUACGGCACAGACUCCUACGGGAGGCAGCAGUGCAGAAUAUUGCAUAAUGGGCGGAAGCCUGAUGCAGCAACGCCGCGUGCGGGAUGACGGCCUUCGGGUUGUAUUCCGCUUUCGCCUUUCACGAGGCGUGAGUGACGGUAACGGGUAAAGAAGCACCGGCUAACUACGUG
rnacentral:rRNA from 1 species